CAAGCGGUGGAGCAUGUGGUUAAUUCGAUGAUACGCGUAGGAACCUUACCAGGGCUUAAAUGUAGGUUGCAUUAGACAGAGAUGUUAUUUCUUCGGACUACUUACAAGGUGCUGCAUGGUUGUCGUCAGCUCGUGCCGUGAGGUGUUAGGUUAAGUCCUGUAACGAGCGCAACCCCUGCCGUUAGUUACAUGUGUCUAACGGGACUGCCCGGCUCAACUGGGAGGAAGGUGGGGACGACGUCAAGUCAGCAUGGCCUUUAUAUCCUGGGCUACACACACGCUACAAUGGUCGGUACAAUGGGUCGCCAAGCCGCGAGGCGGAGCCAAUCCUGCAAAACCGGCCUCAGUUCAGAUUGUAGGCUGCAACUCGCCUGCAUGAAGUUGGAGUUGCUAGUAACCGCGCGUCAGCUAUAGUGCGGUGAAUACGUUCCCGGGGCUU
rnacentral:rRNA from 1 species